GAUGAAGAACGUAGCGAAAUGCGAUACGUAGUGUGAAUUGCAGAAUUCAGUGAAUCAUCGAAUCUUUGAACGCACAUUGCGCCCCUUGGUAUUCCGAGGGGCAUGCCUGCUCGAGCGUCAUUAUAACCCCUCAAGCUCAGCUUGGUGUUGGGGCCUGCUGCACUGGCAGCCCUUAAAAUCAGUGGCGGCGCCAUCUGGCUCUAAGCGUAGUAAUUCUUCUCGCUAUGGAGUCCUGGUGGAUGCUUGCCAUCAACCCCCAAUUUUUCUAUGGUUGACCUCGGAUCAGGUAGGGAUACCCGCUGAACUUAAGCAUAUCAAUAAGCGGAGGA
rnacentral:misc_RNA from 1 species